rnacentral:tRNA from 1 species
CUUAACGUGGCACAACCAGGCUCUGCAAAAGACCUAAACUCUUUCGAUAGAGGUCCAAAUCCUCUCGUUAAUG